rnacentral:rRNA from 1 species
GAUGAACGCUGGCGGCGUGCCUAAUACAUGCAAGUCGAGCGAACAGACGAGGAGCUUGCUCCUCUGACGUUAGCGGCGGACGGGUGAGUAACACGUGGAUAACCUACCUAUAAGACUGGGAUAACUUCGGGAAACCGGAGCUAAUACCGGAUAACAUGUUGAACCGCAUGGUUCAACAGUGAAAGACGGUCUUGCUGUCACUUAUAGAUGGAUCCGCGCCGCAUUAGCUAGUUGGUAAGGUAACGGCUUACCAAGGCAACGAUGCGUAGCCGACCUGAGAGGGUGAUCGGCCACACUGGAUCUGAGACACGGUCCAGACUCCUACGGGAGGCAGCAGUAGGAAAUCUUCCGCAAUGGGCGAAAGCCUGACGGAGCAACGCCGCGUGAGUGAAGAAGGUCUUCGGAUCGUAAAACUCUGUUAUUAGGGAAGAACAAAUGUGUAAGUAACUAUGCACGUCUUGACGGUACCUAAUCAGAAAGCCACGGCUAACUACGUG